ensembl:lncRNA
CUCUGGGAGAUGCACUUGAAUAAAACCAUAUAGGGUAACCAUAUAGGGAAACUAUAUAAAACCAUACAGGGUAACCUUAUAAAACCAUAUAGGGAGACCAUAUAGGGUAACCAUAUAGGGAAACUAUAUAAAACCAUAUAGGGUAACCAUAUAGGGAAACUAUAUAAAACCAUAUAGGGUAACCAUAUAAAACCAUAUAGGGAGACCAUAUAGGGUAACCAUAUAAAACCAUAUAGGGUAACCAUAUAGGGAAACUAUAUAAAACCAUAUAAAACCAUAUAGGGUAACCAUAUAGGGAAACUAUAUAAAACCAUAUAAAACCAUAUAGGGAAACUAUAUAAAACCAUAUAGGGUAACCAUAUAAAACCAUAUAGGGUAACCAUAUAGGGAAACUAUAUAAAACCAUAUAUGGUAACCAUAUAGGGAAACGAUAUAAAACCAUAUAGGGUAACCAUAAAAAAAACAUAUAGGGUAACCAUAUAGGGUAACCAUAAAAAAAAAAAACAUAUAGGGAUAACCAUAUAAAACCAUAUAGGGUAACCAUAAAAAACCCAUAUAGGGUAACCAUAUAAAACCAUAAUGAAUACUAUCAGUGAGGAUCAGAGCCUGAACCACCAGUCCAUCAAAAAUGAGACUAUUCUCUCCAGAGGAAAUGCCUGGUUUUUGAAAACAAAUUAUUUUCAAAAGACAUGCUUUGAUUGUGAAUCUGUAAUAACAAAGAACAAAACAUUUCAGAGACAAAUUGUGCAUCACCUUUGAAAAGCAGGAACGUUUCAGGUCAGGGUUAAAGAUAGUAUUAGGUCUGAUACGCAAGAUUUUAAUAUAAAAACAAUAACAAAAUACACAGAAAACCCCAAAUAAACAGAAAAGCCACUAUUGCUUUGAUUUUGGUAACUGAGCAAGGAUUGACUAGACUCAUAUACCCAUUUCACACAGUCAUGUAAGCUGACCUGGCCAGAUAACAUAUCUAGUGCCAUCCUGCUUUUAAACGAGCAGAGGCACAUAGCUAGCUAGCCAUGAACAACCUAAACCAGACUGGAAAAUGGCAGGAUAACCUUAAACCAAUUAUAUUCACUGGAAAGCAAGCCAAAAGAUCCCCCCCAGUUUGUGUUGAGAUAUUAGUGUGAAAAAGGUAUGAAGCAGGGCCAACUCCAUCCCCUCCAACACACACUGGGAUCCCCCUCAUAGGCCCAGGGGCUGCUGAACUGAAAGAGAUUCUAUGGGGGCCAACAUGGCUCUAUGGGGGCAGGGUCCCACUCUUUGGCCCUCACCGUCCACGACAGGCUGCAGCCAGUACUGCUCCAUGCAGGCUUCAUUCCCACAGGCGACAUUAGUGGAGCAGCCCGUGCCUCCAGUAGUGGUACCUACAAAUACAGUGACAGUAAACAGUCAACAGUCAGGCAGAGGAAUGCUGAGAGGUAUAGCAGGCAGGAAGGUCUGCAUUCAGGAAGAUGAGUGUUGUUUGUGGUCACUGAUAAUCACUAUGAUACUGGAAUGCAUGAUCUCUUUUGGUUUCUUUCGAAGGGAAAACUGACAUGUAACCGUGGCACAAAGUGGGGUUGGGGUGUAAAAUGAAAAACGGGGAAGCGUGGUUGGUGCGUUACGAAAGGAGUGAGCGGUUUCCUAGGUUCUGAUUGGUUGAUUGAAGGAGCUGAUUGAAAGACCUCUAAGGCUGCCUGCCCUCCUCUCAGACCCUAUCUCAGCAGACUGGGCCCUACGAGGAGAGGCAGGGAGAUGAGGGAGAGUGUCUGUGCCUUAGUAGAAGUCCUCUGCUCCUACUAGAGAAGCACACUAAGUUACGAUGACACACAUCAAGAGUCUGCAUCAAGAGAACCAACAUCAUUAGAGGGAAAAGCAUCUAUGUGCCGAUGCCAGAAAUUCAGCUCCGCAAGUGCACCUUUAGUCUUUUUUUCUUUUUGGGAGAAAGCUUUUGAAGGUAACAGACCAAAAUAGAAAUGUGGGGGGAGACAGAGCAUAAUAGGAUAGCUAUGUUCUUGUCACUGUGUCAGACCCUGUUGUCUGUCUACCAGACAUGAGCUAUAUAUUCUCCCCAGUCUUGGGUUUCCAGAGGAGAUGGUUUGGUCAAAGAAGAGAGAAAGUCCAGUGAAUGCGAUCACCUCUGAUAAGGAUGGUUCUGAGG